rnacentral:rRNA from 1 species
UGGGGAAUAUUGGACAAUGGGGGCAACCCUGAUCCAGCAAUGCCGCGUGUGUGAAGAAGGCCUGAGGGUUGUAAAGCACUUUCAGUGGGGAGGAGGGUUAGUAGGUUAAGAGCUGAUUAACCGGACGUUACCCACAGAAGAAGCACCGGCUAACUCCGUGCCAGCAGCCGCGGUAAUACGGAGGGUGCGAGCGUUAAUCGGAAUUACUGGGCGUAAAGGGUGCGUAGGUGGUUGUAUAAGUUAUCUGUGAAAUCCCCGGGCUUAACCUGGGCAGGUCAGAUAAGACUGUAUGACUCGAGUAUGGGAGAGGGUAGUGGAAUUUCCGGUGUAGCGGUGAAAUGCGUAGAGAUCGGAAGGAACACCAGUGGCGAAGGCGGCUACCUGGCCUAAUACUGACACUGAGGCACGAAAGCGUGGGGAGCAAACA